rnacentral:rRNA from 1 species
UACGUAGGGGGCGAGCGUUGUCCGGAUUUAUUGGGCGUAAAGAGCGUGUAGGCGGCCAGGUAGGUCUGCUGUGAAAACUCGAGGCUCAACCUCGAGACGUCGGCGGAAACCAUCUGGCUAGAGUCCGGAAGAGGAGAGUGGAAUUCCUGGUGUAGCGGUGAAAUGCGCAGAUAUCGGGAGGAACACCUAUGGCGAAGGCAGCUCGCUGGGACGUUACUGACGCUGAGACGCGAAAGCGUGGGGAGCGAACAGG